AAUUAAGUUAAUAGCGCGAGAUACAUUUUUGGGUAGAUAUUUGAGGCGAUCUGAAAAUUUUUCAGUAACCUAAAAAUUGUAUUAACAAAUUAUUUUGAUGUAAUGAAUAUUUAAAAAAAUAAGAUUCACCUUGACAAAGCAAAAAAGAUAUUUAUAAAUUCUGAUCUAACUCCCCAGCAACUCAACAAACUCAAUAAAGUUAAAGAGGACCUCAAAAAACGCCAAGAACAAGGUGAGAAAGAUUUAUUUAUACGAUAUGUUAAAGGUAUUCCUGAAAUUUGCAAAAAUGAUAAUUCCACACAAGAAAACUAGACACAACGAAAAAUAUAA
rnacentral:lncRNA from 1 species